rnacentral:rRNA from 1 species
UACGAAGGGGGCUAGCGUUGCUCGGAAUCACUGGGCGUAAAGCGCACGUAGGCGGAUUGCUAAGUCAGGGGUGAAAUCCUGGAGCUCAACUCCAGAACUGCCUUUGAUACUGGCGAUCUUGAGUCCGGGAGAGGUGAGUGGAACUGCGAGUGUAGAGGUGAAAUUCGUAGAUAUCUGGAGGAACACCGGUGGCGAAGGCGGCAUCCUGGACCGGUAUUGACGCUGAGGCGCGAAAGCCAGGGGAGCAAACGGG